ACGACUGCUACGUUAGGUUAGGCAGGCAGAAGUCUGAAUCAGGUCUGUGCCUGCUGCUGACGGAGUGUCACUCUUGGAACGUUUCCCCAGCGCACAUUCCAGAGCUUCACGCUCGAGCCCACCGCAUGAAAGAGGCACAGGCUGCACGCAGCUGUCCUGGAGCUGCGCAGAGGCCGGACUGGGCGCAAGGGGUCAAGCGCGACCGCAGGCUGCACAUGAGUGUGGGAAUAUGUCACAGAACUAUUUAUAUAAACUACGAGAAACUCAGACAAACGAGAUGCACUCCAUUAUCUUGUUGAAUGCGGUCGGUGUUUCGGAGUGUUACCAAGCGGGACAAUGAAAACCGAAAGCAGGCUCGUGCAGUGGAUAUGUUGGCUCAUCGUUAUAACGUCGUUUUUCCUGACCGGGUUUAUAAUAGGCUGGUUUGCAAGGCCCACCAGCACAGACACAAGCCAUGAUGCAGGGUCCAGACGUCACCUGAGAGAGUUUCUGGAUGAGAUGCGAGCAGAGAACAUCAGAGAUCAU